CUUUGAUAAUAUUGUAAAGCGAUACGGAAUAUGCUGGUGCUAUAUAAAUAUCAGUAGUAAUAAUAAUAAUGUGUAUGCAUGAGUGUAAGUGUGUGUCUGUGAGUGUGUGUGUCUGAGUGUGUGUAUGAGUGUAUGUGUGUCAGUUUGUGUGUGUGUGUGUAUCUGUCAAUCUGUGAGUGCGUGUUUGUGAGUGUAUAUGUAUGAGUGUAUUUGUGUUCAUCUGUGAGUGUGUGUCUGAGUGUAUGUGUGUCUGAGUGUAUGUGUGUCUGAGUGUUUGUGUAGUGUGUGUGUAGUGGAUGUAGUGUGUAUAUAAUGAAUGCAGAGUGUGUUUGUGUAGUGUGUAUAGUGAAUGCAGUGAGUGUUUGUGUAGUGUGUGUAUAUAUAGUGAAUGCAGAGUUUGUGUGUCGUGUGCAUAUAGUAAAUGCAGUGUGUGUGUCGUGUGCGUAAAGUGAAUGCAGUGGGUGUAGUGUGCGUAACGUGAAUGCAGUGUGUGUGUAGUGUGCGUAAAGUGAAUGUGAUGUGUGUGUAAUGUGC